rnacentral:rRNA from 1 species
AUACGGAGGGGGUUAGCGUUGUUCGGAAUUACUGGGCGUAAAGCGCACGUAGGCGGAUUGGAAAGUUGGGGUUGAAAUCCCAGGGCUCAACCCUGGAACUGCCUCCAAAACUAACAGUCUAGAGUUCGAGAGAGGUGAGUGGAAUUCCAAGUGUAGAGGUGAAAUUCGUAGAUAUUUGGAGGAACACCAGUGGCGAAGGCGGCUCACUGGCUCGAUACUGACGCUGAGGUGCGAAAGCGUGGGGAGCAAACAGGAUUAGAAACCCUAGUAGUCC